rnacentral:lncRNA from 1 species
UAUUAAGUGAGCUAAAGGGACAAACACAACAAAAUGGUUAACUUAAUUACUCAAAAAUUAACUUUAUAAAAUAAAUGUACGAUCUUUACGCACUAUAAAUUGAACAAAUAUAUUCUAUUUGUUACAUGUAAAAAGAAAAUAAAUAUGGCUAAAAUUCUGAAAUGUGUUUAUGUUUAUACAACAAUUUUAUUUCUUUGUCUCAUGCUUAUUGCAGAAGAAGUUCAUGGUCAGCUAUUUCUUCAUCUUUUCAAAUUAUCUUGUUUACUUUAUAUAUUUGAUCUUAUUUUUCAAUAAUAUUUUUUCUUUUUUUUUAUUACAGCGAGAAGAUGUGAAUACAAUGAUGAUUGUCAAAAAACAUUGCACAUGUUUCCUGUUAUUUAUAUGUGCUUCCGCGGACACUGUACACUGGUUAAAAUAAUACCGAGACCUAUAUGAGUAUCAGACUCAAAAGAUCACACAAUCGCUAUGUUGGGAAGAAAGAGUUCGCGUAUUAGAAAAUAAAGUAUAUGCAUAAUUUCAUACUAAAAUAUUAUAGAAAUUAAUUGAAAUACACUGACAGUGUAAAAGGAUUUUACACCGUCAGUUAAUCAUAACCGUUGGAUAUUGAAACAAGUUUGACUUUUAUUUUAAAAAUCUAUAAAGUAAUACAAACGGGUGAUGGUGAUGAAUCGAUUGUGUAAAACUUUUUACACUGACAGUGUAUAGUAAUUAAUCUCAAUAUUAUAUUAGUUGUCAUUUAAAUUUUGUACUUUCAAGUUUCAAACAAUAAUUUUUACUUUUUAUUUUAUAAUUUUGCGGACUUUAAAAUUAUGACUUUGCAUUUUAAGAUGUGAUAAUAAAUUUAAAUAAAAUAUUAAACAAUAUUUUAAUUAAAUUAUCUUCUUUUCUCUAUAUUUUGAAUAUGUCUUUCAAUUUAGACACAUAUUGUAGAUAAAAAAAAUUGUAACCAGUGUAAACAUGAACAAAAUUAAAAUGAUUGAAUUGUNNN